CUUCCCAGGACGAGUGCAAUAAAAUCAGCAGACUACCAAUUCCAUGGUUCGCACAGACUGCCCUGUAAAACUGAGCUCCUCAUUGUACGGAGUGUGGAAAACCUGAUCCUAAAUGAGGCUGCUAAUUGACUCGGUUUGCCAGCUCAUUUGGUAAGCGUCAAGCUGCUCUCCUUCCAGCUCUUUUGUUUGAGUCAGUUCUGGGGACACCUCUCUGAAGAAGCACCCUGGGACCCUGAAGCUCCAUCAGCAAUCAGAGCACCCAGGAAAGACCUCAGGGCAGGAAGCACUGUGUCCCUGGGCAGAGGCGAACCACAUGUUGACACAAAGAGCAUUUAGCCAACUGUUACAGAUUUCCAGAGACCAUGGUUUAUGAAGCAUGACUUACCACAAGCUUACUUCCAGUUGGCAAGCAUAAGACGGGGAGGAAACUGGCUUCAUGCACAAUUACCCACAUUGAUUCAUAACAAAAUGUGAGGUUGAGUUGGCAUGGUCUUCUGACGAUUACCAACCUCCUUCUCAAAGCUCACCUGGGGGAUGUGGUCCUCUCUGCUGACCAAACUAUUUCCUGUGAGUUUCACCAAGAACCACGAAGUGAAGCUGAUUAAGGAGUAAAGAUCUUGGAAAGAUGGCUCAAGUGUCUCAGUGGACAUGUUAUCAAAAGCCCUGGAAACAAAAGGAAUGUUGUUUAUAUCAUAACCAAUGAUUGAAAAAUCAGCCUAUGGCCCUCAUGUAUAAACAAGAAAUGCUUAAAAAACUUUUGAGACUACAGGGAUGAUUACCAACUAGAUAAUUGAUGAUGUUUGGAAUAAUUAUAAGAUUUUAGAUACAGUAAGACUGUUGAGGUUAUAAUAUGCAAAACUUCUUAUCUUAAGAGGAAGGGAUUGGUUGCAGUUGCUGUGGCAUCUGAAAUUGCUUCAGAAUAUCUGGGGAAGAGAGAACAGGGGAUUCAAAUGGAGCAAAAUUGGCCGCAACUUGUUGUCACUGAAGCUGAGUGACAGAUUCAGGAUGACACAUGAUGUGUGGAUAGAUAUGAUAAUAUCCUGUAUUAUCUUUGAAAUUUUCCACACAAACACGUUAAAUAAAUCAGUACUUUUAAGGGAAGAAUUCUAGAACUCAUUUCACAAAUCUUUUUGUUUUUGAAAC